GCACAUUACGGAAAAUGUGUGUGCAUUUUAGAAUGAAGAAUUUUAAAUUAUAAUGUGUCAGACUAUGAACAUGUAAAGACGGAUUGAUUUUAUGAUCUCCGAAUAUAGGUUGUACUUAUUAUAGCGUGUACCUGAACAGUAAUGUUCUUUCAUGUUAACAUAAUUAUGAACAGUUUGUGCUAAUGAUCUAUGUGUUAAGGUUGAUGGAUUCAUAUAAAUAUAUUUGUGAAAAGUUUGGGAUGGAUCGUGUUUAGGAGAUGUUAAUUUCAUUUAUUUGAUUAUUAAGAACGAUGCAUUGAUGCGCAUUACUGGUCACAAUCUACAACAUAAUGAACGGACAGAGAUUAACCGAUGACAUAUGUCGAAGCGUCCUGAACAGGGCUCACAAGAAAAUUGUUGAGGAGAUGGACCCAGAAAAGGUGCUGGAGAAACUACGAGAACGAGAAUUUCUAACGCAUGAGGAUUACAGUGCCAUUGGGAGAGUGGCCGACAGGUCCACGAAAAAUCGCAGUAUUGUCGGUAAGAUCAGACAAAGCGGCAAAAAGACGUAUUGCGAUUUCAAAACAAUUCUUGAGGAAAACGGUCAGAAAGUAAUAAUUCUAGAGCUCGAGUUAAAAGAAAGAGAGUUAGGAAUCGAGAAUUCUGAAUAUUCUUUGCACCCGGCUGAAACUACUACUACUACUACUACUAGUACGACUACUACUACUACUACUACUACUACUACUACUACUACCACUGAUGACAUAUGUCGAAGCGUCCUGAACAGGGCUCACAAGAAAAUUGUUGAGGAGAUGGACCCAGAAAAGGUGCUGGAGAAACUACGAGAACAAGGAUUUCUAACGCAUGAGGAUUACAGUGCCAUUCGGAGAGUGGCCGACAGGUCCACGAAAAAGCGCAGUAUUGUCGGUAAGAUCAAACAAAGCGGCAAAAAGACGUAUUGCGAUUUCAAAACAAUUCUUGAGGAAAACGGUCAGAAAGUAAUAAUUCGAGAGCUCGAGUUAAAAGAAAGAGAGUUAGGAAUCGAGAAUGCUGAAUAUUCUUCGCACCCGGCUGAAAGGAUGGAAACUGACCAAACACCAGAACCACCUGCACAAAUGCGGCGGCAACCUACAGCGGACAAUCCAUUGUUCAAUUAAGAUCGUAGAGUUCUUGUUUAAAAACAAUUAAAAAAGACUUGCAUGACGGGCGACUGAUUAAGCUUGACAACAUUAUGGUUGAUCAGUUGAAGAGUAUUUGUAGGACGGAAAAUAAACUAAAAGGUGGAUUUGGAAAAGUGUACAUAUGUGUAGACGUUGUGUCAGCAGUGAGGACGGACAGUGCCCCCACCCCGGCAGCCAGUAGCCGAUUUGUGAAAAACUGUAGUGUUUCCCCUUAAGGUUCAGUAAUUCGGUUUUAUCGCUUAACUUAAGAUAAAAAUCGAAGAAUGAAAUGGAGAACUGCAACGAAACGAAUAUAGGUCGAAAACCACAACAAGCUGUGGGAACCAUCAUAUCACGUGAGACGGUGCAGUCUUCAUGUUGUGUCCGGUACUUAAAACUUAGUAUUUACGAUAGAGAAAAAACUAAUUUAAAUUAAUUAUUUUAAACAGUUAAAACUGUACUUGUUUAUCUGUCUUUUAACAUGAUGUGUAGUUUGUAGAGUUUAUCACUUUUCAAGGCAGUAGCAACAUUAUUAAUUGAAGCGUUGUUGUUUUGUUGUCUCAUAAAAAGAAACAAAUAAAAUAAUUAAAAGAAUAUUGCGGACGUCAUCAUGUCGUACUAUUACAUAUUGUUUUACAGGUCAACCGUCUACACAUGAUUUUUCUUCUAAUAAGUUUAUGUGAAAUAAAUAAUGUUUCGAAGGUAUUUAAAGUGCUGAACCUGAGAUCAUCUGUAUGUUUUCAAUAACAACACCUUUCAGCUACCCUUUCCUUAUAUAUAUAUUUAUAAACUAUUGAUUCGAAUUUCGCUUUCAUGUAAAGUUUUUUUUUAUAUGUUAAGCAAAAUGUAGAUGUUUAAUACAAUUACAGUGUCGAAUUCAACAUAUAUAUUUCCUAGAAUAUUCUAUCUUUGCCUAUGUAAUUAGUUAGACAAUUAUUAGAAAAAAGUAACAUGCUAGUCAAAUUCACUAUUUCUGCUGCAUGUGUAUAUAAUUAUAUUGAUAAAUCAAACCAGAUUAAAGUGUUUAUAUUAUUGUAAUUUUUUUUCUACAAAAUGAACAUGCGUGUCACUGUAUAUUAUUAUAUGGAAACUACACAAUUAAACCAAAUACAAGUGUUUAUAUAAUGUUACUUGUUCUUCAAAAUCUACAUGCUUGUCAAAUGUUUCUCUUGUAUGUUUAUAUUGUUUACAAUUUAUUCUGCAAAUUAAGGCAAACACAUAUGAUCUUAUGAUCAAAUUAAGUCAAAAAAAAAUAUUAUGUAUAUGUAAUGAUCCUGAUAAAACUAAUUCUGUACAAAUUUACAUGCAUUAAAUCACCUCAAUAAAUAGCAAUUCAUUAUAUUAAAAUAAUUAAACUUAAAAAAGUGCUUACUUCUGCACUAGAGUGUUUGAUC